rnacentral:misc_RNA from 1 species
UGGCAGCAGAGACUCAAAGUUGAACCAUCUUUUUCUCAGAAGUCUACUUUCUGGGUUUGUGUUUCUCUAUCAUAUGAGGAUCUGAAAUACUUUUCUUUUUUGUCUGAGCAUCGGAUCCACGUUUCUCUAAUCCAGGCUCAUCGGAUCCACAUUUCUCUUGUGCAUUGGUAUCCAUCUGUAAAAAUUACAAAUGUUUACCCUGACUUGCUAUCCAGGGAAACCCGAUUCCUGGAAGCACAUGUUUCUACUUUU